rnacentral:rRNA from 1 species
UUCUACAGACAUUUCACCCUGAAGGCUUCCAAUCUCAUCUGAUCUCAGAAGUUAAGUAGGGUAUGGUUAGUACUGCUUAGUACUUGGAUGGGAGACACCAUUCUUUAUCAU